ACAACAAAAAACAGUUCACCCACUGAACUGUUCCGCAAACAAAUGUCUGCACAUUGUGCCUACGCCUUUGCUUGAAGAUCAAGGCCAGUCUAAGAGGUAAACUGUAUGGCAUACUGUUUUCUGCUGAAAAGUUGGGCAUGUCUACUGGAUUACUUCAAAAACAAACGAAACGACAACAAAAAACAUCUUCUGUUUUUAUUUCAAGUUGCCAACGGACCGCUGUUGUGCUCUGGGCUAGCCCAUUGUGCCAGCGCCUAAGUUUCUGUUCCAGAGGAUUGACUUGCACUUGGAUACAAGGUGAUUGUCCUUGCUUCAGGUAGUGGAGUUGGAAGAAAAGCUGGUACAUAAAUAAUCUGUAAGCUGUUCAGGCCUUUAUAUGCCUACAUGGCUUCUUGAACCCCACUAGGGAAACUGAGUCAAGCAGAAGUGCUCCUAGUCCACCAUACUAUUGAUCUCUGUUCAGUCCAUGAUUGGCCCCAAAUAGGAACACCUCAAGUGCAUUAAAAACUCUAGCUGAUAUAAAUGGAUAACUGAAAUGGGAACAUAUGAGAGGUUGAAGGAUUUAUAAUUCCUGGUUCAAGUGCCUACUAUUUGAGCACACACGAAGUUUGGGGUCGAUAUUGUUUUGCAUGUUAAUUUGUAAUCUCAUCCCUGCCUGCACCACAAGCGCUGCCCUCACUGACUUCUUUUUCUGCUGCUCUGGAAGGAUUGGCUUAUCUGUAGCUUUCACAUUCCUGUAGCUAAUCUCAGGCAAGUGGAUGUCUGUGCCAUUCAUUUCCCUGAUCUAGUGAGGUCAGGCUCCUACCUAGCAGCCAUUUUAAGUUGCCUUCAGGGGAUGUUUACUCACAGCGUAACAAGGAGGAGGUGAAAACAAGGGAUAUCAGACUAACUUCACUAAAAAUAUUUAGAGGAAUUUGUGAUAGCAACACAGUAGAUGGGGGCUUGGGCUUCCUUGUCUCAUCUGACAUUCAUCUGCAUUUAUCUCAGAGGGAUGGGGGAGAGAGUAAACUUCAAUAGGUGUUGUUUUAGGUUUUAAGUAUUGCUAAGCAACAGCAUUUCGGCUCUUUUCAACCGUAUCUUUGCACUUGAAAGGUGGCGAAUAGCAUUUUUUCCAAGAUGAAAUGACUUGCCUGGGCUCGUUCUGCCUGCCAGCAUGGGAGAUAAGGGCAGGGCCGGGAAACCACAGCUCCAUGGUCAGCUCUGUGGCUGUGUGCUGGAAAAUGGUGCAAACGCCUGCUUCAGAGCAUGACUUAGGUCAUGGAGCAGCUGACAUGGAUGUUGAAUGUCUUAUGUAGAUUUCUAGGACGAGAUGCUAUGUUUUAUUUAUAGGCAUUACUUAGCGGUAAUGGUAGUAGGUUCUUUGUCAACCACGCCUGUUGUGGAUACGAAAUGCAGGUUGAAUAAAACAGUGUUUUCUCUCUCCUUCUUUGCCCCAGCUAUUCGUGUUUCUUUAAGGCCCAAGACGAGCAUAUUCAAAAUGCAAAUGCUCCUUGAUAAGAGUUUCGUGACUUUGUUGCAUUAUCUGUGCAGCUCCCGCUUUCAGGAGACCUUCAUACAGACAAAAUUGAUCAGCGGCAGGAGGAAGAAAAUAGCUGUUGCCAGGGCAACCGGGGAUGACUCAUCCCAGGGAGCAAGCAGCAAAAGCUGUGAGGCUGCAGUAAUUUUCCAGAUGCUUAAUCGAGCUCUGGCUCCUUUAUUUCUCUUGCUGACAGGCAGCAAUCCUCCUCUGCCUUUCUUUGCUCGGAGGCUCCCGCAGCCGUACGUGAUGCAGAGUUGUCCGUGGCGGUGCUUACCCAGAGCGGUGUCACAGAAUGCGUCUGAGUAAUGCAGAUGAGCUAUUGAACGGAUUGAACCGUAGCCCCCGACGACAGUAAAAAUAGAACAGCAACUGCCCAAACUGUCUGCACAAAUACCCAAGUGUGUUGUUGGUUCCCCUCUGUUCCUAUCCGAACAGCUAGCACUGCAUUUACUGUGCCUUCAAGCUAUGCUAUUGCUAAAUCAGUUCAGCUUGUUCCUUUCAGUAAUUAGGCUGUGCAGCCUAUGCCGCGUACAGAAUGUGCUAAAAGGGAAGAAGCAAAUUGCGCUCAGCACACGCAUUCCCAUGAACUAGCUUCCCUUCUCUGUGACCUGCUCUUUUCUGUAUGAGAACGAAUUUGAUGAAAUAGAGCAGGUUAAGAGGCUUACCCAGGAAAAGGGCAGCAAAAGGAGCAGCGCAUUCCAUGCCACUCAGGGAGUGCCUGCUUUGCAGUUCUCCUGCAGUGACUGCAUUGUAAUACAGGCAUCGCCCCAUUUGGGGCACUGUUAGAAAUGUCUGACUCGGUAUUUACCAGCUUUGGUGGCAAUACAGAGUUCUUCAUGACUGUGACGUGAUGCUGCAAAACCCAAGAGAAGCUAGAAUAAAGCUAGCUUCAACUUGCUUACGUGAGGAAGGCACGCUCUUGAGAGAGAGGUACAACCAGUGCUGAGUGAGAACAGAAUCCAGUUUCCCUGCUCAAGUAAGCCCAUCAUUCUGCGAUGGGGGAUGCUCACCUGCUCUGCAGCGUAGGAAGAUGAGGAGCUUGUGGGAAAAGGGCAGAAUGGUGACAGGAGAACUGUGGGUUUGCUUUGCCAGGAAGAGGAUUAUUAUCUUGAACUUUCCUAUGCUUCUUGGACAUUACGCUUUGUGCCUCUGUUUCACUUUGGUAAGGUGGAGAUGAUCCUGACUUUCUCUGAUUUUACAUAUUAACUUUCUCUGAAAGGGCGAGCGUGUUUACCAAGAAUUUGUACCGGAUGGGCUUCUCUUGAUGUACAACACUCCCCCUCCUCCCCCAAACCACACACAGCAUUGGGGUUUUCUGGCUGUUCAAGCACGGAGAUGUAAUACUGGGGAACGUGGGGAGGAGCUGUGAUGACAAGGAGUGAAUGUCUUUGUACCAGCACCCAGGCUAACUGUGCUGUUGGUGCCAAUGCUGCCAGCUGCUGUUGCAUGCAAUCCCUGCUGUUGCUGAAUCAAAUGAGACAACCAACUCCUCCCAUAGUGCAGCACCUUGCAUGCAAGUCUUCGUAAAAGUUUUGGCAGAAGAUGCUGCUGAAACGAGUUGCUGCAUUGCUGACAGGCCGUGCGGCACAGCGUGGCUGGCCGGUGGCCAAACCCCUGUCAAGCUGCCAAGUGUGGGGGCACGAGGAAGCUGUAUGUGAUGUUUGUUUUCCGCUUCUUGUUGUGGUCAAGUUAUCUGCUAGUAACUACAUGUACCGCAUUGCAUGAAUACUUACUGCCUUGUAUCUUUGUCUACUGUCAGUGGGUGGAAUGCAUGAGCAUUUAAUGAAUGUCCUGUCACUGCUCUUCAGGGAAAAUGGUUUUAUUUACGGACAGCAGCAGAGGCUCAUGAUUUUACUGUGAGAUCUCAAGAUCUACUGCAGUGCACAGCUGUUCCAACUGCUGGUGGGUUUUGUAUACUCAUGGGAAGUAGUGCUGUGUGUUCAGUGUCUGAUACUGCAGCCUCGCUCGUGGCCUAGGCUGCCAACCCUAUUCGCUUCACAUCUUUGUGGAAGAACUAACGUUACUGUGCAACAGGUUGAUAUACGUAGGGAACUUGCUAGAAAGUUGUCUUUUCCAGAGACACCGAGUUUCAGGAAUGUAACAGUGAAAGCUGAAUAUGAGAUAUUAAUUCAUUCAACCACCUCCAAAAAGGAAUCACUUCCUGCCUGGGGUAGUACAAAUGUAUAAAAGUGAAAAUGCUGCUAAAGCAAUCUGUGAUUUCAGCAGCAAUUACUGUAGGCCUGCAUCAUUAUGCUAGUUUUAUUAUUGCAUAAAUACCUAUUUAGCUCCAAAAGUUCUGCAGUCCUAGCAAACUCCUUAAGUGAAAUCAUCAAAUAUCAUCAAAUGCAUUGAGUUCAUAUAUAUUUCAUGGGUCCUAGAAAAGAUGCUGGCAUCUUAGCACUCUCUGGAAAAGCAAAAAUAGUAGUUUAAACCUACCUCUUCAGUGCCAUAACAUUUACUGUUAUUAAUAAGGAUGUAUUGACUUGCUAAUGCAUUUUGUGAUCAGGCUAUUAAGUAAGUUGCCUGAAACCUGGUGAAAAUGCAUCUGCUACACUGACUGUAGGUAACAGCAUUUGUAAUUAGCUGCAGACUAAUUGCUCAGUUAGUUUGCCUGCAGAAGGCACAUUCUGGCCAGGUGCUGGCUGAUGUUCCUGUACCCAGUGAAGUUCUCAAAGGACUCCUUGGCUUUUGGCAUGAUUUAAGAGGGAAAAGAAACUGACUCCUCAAAGUAACAUUGUAUUUCUAGUUGCCUUUUGGAAGACAGCGUUAAUAAUAAAUUUGACUGGUUAAAAUCCUUAAUCAUCAAGGCAGCUUUUGGAUACUUGAAGUUAAAUUAUACUCCAUUCGCUUUGCUUUCUGUCAAAGUAUGUAAGACGGUAUUUUGGUUUUCCCUUCUCUGGAUAUUUUUUUCUGAUGGCCCUUUUAUACUGGGGACUAUGUUUUUCUGAGUUCACUUGCUGGUUAUCCUAUACUUUUAGGGCCUAGUGAUGUGGAAAUUGUAAUUUGUAUCUGCUUUUCAAAGACGUUCAGUCCAGCACCAGGCAGAAGGAGUCACUGCUGAAGCCCAGGAAGACAUCUCAUCUGCCCUCUGAAGCCAAUGCCGUGAAAAAAGCAGAUCAGAAGUCUCUGACAGAUCUUUUCUGGAGGUGGCUGAGACCUGAUAUAUGUUUAGAGAAUUCACUAAACGGUGACCAUUUGCUGAACAAAUACUGCAGAUUGAAGCCAGACCUCAAUUCUCAAGGAGUAUGAUGGCAACUGAAAGCGUUGUGAUCUUGACGUGAAUUUCAGACACUGCUUUCUCUGAUCCUGUUUUUAAUACAUUGAAGAAAAGAGCAGCAGCUAAGGAGGAGGGGAAGCUUGUUGCCAGUGUAAGGACACCACAGAAGCUGUCUGCCGGUUGCAUGGCAGGAGCAAUGGCAGCAGCAGCAGGUCUAUACUAAGAAUAUUUCCUGAGGAGAGAGCAAGAGCAAGGAUGCACGUCUGCUGCUGAAGCCUGACUGUAGUUGGUGCAGGCUUUGCAAAAGAUACACCAGCAAGACUAGCACAAAUAGUACUCUCAAAAGAAAUGAGUUAUUCAGGAAACUAUCAAAUGGAUCCCAAGAAUGUUGUCAUUCUGACACAGCUCAUUCAGAUUCACUUAUCUCACGAUAAAAAGUCUAGCUGGAAUAUGCCAGCUGUACAGAAGAUGAAUAGUUCAGAUGUCUAUUUGGAACCACUACUGAGGCUGAAGAUGUGACUUGGGUUGUGAAAGAAAUGAAAACCAGAGAAACCAGAGAACUGGAGGAUGAUUGUGGGUGCUCCACAUCACCUCCUUUUCUUGUGUUGCUGGAUACUACUUCUCAGCAGGAAUACACAGGGAGCUUCUUCUCACUGCACCAUGCCUGAUCUUGCAGAAUAUUAUGUUUCAACUUAAAACUUCUCCAUUUCACUGGAUUGCAAAAUGUAAUGAAAAAGUGAACCUGGCUAGAGGAUUACUCUGAAAAAGGAUGGCCUUACACUGGCAGGAGCAUGGUGGAUGUCUGUGGGAGUUUUCUUUAACUGUAAGCUGCAGGAAACUGAAAAACUGAGUCUGAUGAGAAAGAAGGACAACAGUGCCUCUCCUUUCUCCUCGAGGAGAGAAGAAGCUGUUCCCAUGAAAGAAGAUUGGACUAAGACCCACUGGACCACCAGUCUGUGUGCAAGCAUUUUUGUAAGAGGCAAAGAUAAAGGACCAUCACAAGCCUCAGGAAAAGGUUAAGGGCACACAGAAGUGAAAAUAGAGCAAAGACCUAGGUUGGGCAGGGACCACAGAGGGCCCCAGAGGUGAUGGCACUGAUCAGCUAUGUGAUGGAAUAUGUCGGCUUCACUAAUUGUUGUCUGCGGAUUGAAACUUUUUCCAGGACCAAUUGAUUGUAAUCAUAUUCUGCAUUAGCACUGCUUUGCUGAAAGGCUGUCUGAAGCUCAUGCUACAAAGGAGAGUUGCAGCCCUGUUUUUCUUUUUAGUGUCCCGUAUGUUAAAGGACUCCAAGACUAGGUGGUUGGCCUCAUCUUACUAUCAAAACUUCUCACUCCUGCUGAGAUUUUGUAUGCUCAUUGGCAGUGAGAUCCUCUAAGGAGGGGUUGCUCUGCCAUUAACUCAGUUGGAAAUAUAAGAAUGGACCUUGCUGAGGUAAUAUUCAUGUCUGAAAGAUGCUUAACAUGCUUGGCACACUGCAAGGAAUACUUCACUAAUAAUAACUGUGGUAAUGUCUCAAGCAAAGAUCGUUACAAACACAGAAGAGAAAAGAAGCAAGGGGUGUACAACAUUAUGGCUAUCCAUUCAUCUUGGAGCAUUUUCAGGAAAAUCCUUCAACAGGCACAUCUGAGUUAAAAAUUGCUAUUGCUGCUGCCACAGAUUCCAAUUAGUGAAAAGAAAGGAUCUGUUCACUAUUGCAUUUUGGAUGAAGAGGUAAUGUUGUGUGUUCCUUUUUUUUUUUUUUUUUUUUUCAGAUAAUGUCACAGAAGCACUAAAGAGGAUAAGAGAUAGCUGAAUAACAAAGAAUAUGAAAAUGCCAAUUGCAUUUCUGUGGCCUUUAAUUUAUUUUUUAGACCAUACUGGGCACAGACACGUUAGUCAUAGGCACACAUGACGUGUCCUUUGGGCUCUGUCUCACUUCUGUCAUUUUAAGAUGAAGCUUGGAGGAUUCCUCAGCUCUCCUUUUACCAGUCAUUCCCAGCCCUUUAGCACCAUCAUCACUUCACUGCUUUACAUUAUAAAUACCUCCACCAACUGUCUUGUGAGGAAAGAGACUGCUACUGUACCCGUGUGACUCGUGGGAAACUGAAUGAGGACAGUGUUUAGCAGUUUAUCCAAGGUUACACUGAAAACCUGGGUAAGUCAGGGAGCUGGACCUGCAUCUCCCAAGUUCCAGCCUUUCCCUAAGGCUGCAGAACUUAUCAAAGGAUUCCAGCACUCUCCUAGCAAGCACACAUGGAAUACUGACCCUCUGUAUUAGAUCAGAAUUUGGGAAAAAUAUAUUAACUCUUUAAAUCUCAAAGGUUAACUGUUGCAUUUAGAUAGGCACACUUUAUUACUAAAUACUCUGGGUUGUAUAUCCAAGUUUACAUUACGUAAAAGUGUAAUCAGUUCUGAAACAGAUUAUGGUAAAAAUCUUACUGCAUGUAGCAAUUUUAAAAGAAAUCACAGAAGAGCUGGAAAAAAAAAUCAGGAGAUAAUUUGUGUGUUUGUAGCCUGGAUCAAUCUUUUCUAAAGAGCUAACGGGAGAGAGGGAUCAGAAAUUGAAACUACCUACCCAACUGUCAAUUAUUCCUAAUUGUCCCAGUAAGGUCCCUCAUUAUGGGAAGUUGUGAAGGAACCAAAUAAAUUCACACAAAAAACCCUGCAUCUGGGUUGCAGAACAGAAGUGGAAAGCACAUUGUGAAUCCAGAGAAAAUUGCUUGCACAAACACUGUGAAAGAAGAAAAUGUAAUGCUCAAAGAUGUUUUCUGCUCUGUUGUUAGAGACAACAAGGAUUUAGAAAAGAAUUAGUCUCCAUCAAAAGGUGAACAAGUAAGACUGCUGUCAAAGAUGGGAAAGUCAAGAGUUUAACCUGUUCCUGAGACCAUGAGUUGACACAGGUGUGAUACAGCCCCCACGAGCAUCCUUGUCUCAAAAAAGAAUUACAUCAGAGGGACAAGUGCUGCUGAUCAACAUUCUGUGCUAGAUGAAUAUGCAAGAUAAUGCGUUAUGCUUUUAUCUUAAGAAAUUCCACUUUGUGAAAGAUAACAAAUUGCAUUUGGCGUAGCUGUAGUAAACAGAGAAAGACUGAAAAAAAAUCACUUCCUUUGGCUAUAAUGGCAAGCCAGAAAGAGUUAGAGCCUUUAAUUUCUAAGACUCCAUCCUAUAUGUGUAAAUUAAGGUCUGUCCAUUAAGGUUGUAAUAGAUAAUAAGUGUGUUUUCAUGGCUGUAGGACAUGUGCAUUGUUCAGAGCUGGUCCCAUAACUUGGCCUAUCACCUCAUUGUCCUGUGGAGACCUGCAGUAUGGUACUAUGUUGAGAGUACCAGGAAGAAAUACCAUUUGCGUGUUCAGUGUGGGGCUCAGCUUGUGUACAGGAUACACAGUGUGCUGGCAGGCGUGGAAUCAGGACAGUAAGAAUAAGCAUGUUUGUUUAUUUGAUCUACAACUUUAUGAGAUGGCAAGUUCAACUCUUGGACAAGAGUAAAAGUACCAUGGCCACAUGAUACACUGUGCUGAAAUGGUGCAUACUUUGCUGUGUCAAAGGCCUCUUAAAGAAGUGAAGGGACACUCUGUUCUGGCAGACCGUGUAUCAUGCAGUCUGCCUGUACUUCAGUUACUUCAUGAUGAGUCAAGUGUGGUCUGUCCUACCAUAGCUAAUGUAUGUUCCCUGUAUGACUGCCAUGCAUCCUAAUGCCAUCUUGUGAGCUUUGGCUGAAAAAAUUGUUGAAAUGUGCUUGCAUCCGGGCUGGAUAAAAUUUGUAGCACUCAAUGACCUAGUAGUACAAGGCCACCUGUCAAUAACUGUAGAAUUCAAGUCCACCAGUUCCCCACACAGUGUGGCACAGGUUCCUCAGACAAAACAACCUGUGAUUCUGCAAUUGCAAAUCAUAUCAAGUGUCUUUCCUCCAACAGAGAACAAAAGUUUCAUAUGCAGUUUUAGUCCUGGCAUUUCCUACCUGUGAGUACAUGUUUUUGUGUCCUUGAUUGAUGUUCAUUUUCUGUGUCAUAUGAUCCUAAGUCUACACUUCUGAGCAUUUUCCAUGCAGUACUUGGGUAUUUUGUCUAGACAUUUUUCGCAGUGUGCUUUUGUGUCUUCCUUUGCAGAACUUUUGCUACUGUUCUAUCCAUAAUCCUCG